rnacentral:rRNA from 1 species
UACAGAGGGUGCGAGCGUUGUUCGGAAUUAUUGGGCGUAAAGGGCGCGUAGGCGGCCACCGCAAGUCAGUUGUGAAAUCUCUGGGCUUAACCCAGAAAGGUCAACUGAUACUGCGGGGCUAGAGUGCAGAAGGGGCAACUGGAAUUCUCGGUGUAGCGGUGAAAUGCGUAGAUAUCGAGAGGAACACCUGCGGCGAAGGCGGGUUGCUGGGCUGACACUGACGCUGAUGCGCGAAAGCUAGGGGAGCGAACGGG